GUCUAUGGCCAUGCCACCCUGAAUAAGCCGAUCCCGUCUGAUCUUGGAAUCUAAGCAGGGUAGGGCCUGGUUAGUACUUGGAUGGGAAACCACCUAGGAAGACCAAGUUCUGUAGGCA
rnacentral:rRNA from 1 species